CUGGGGAAGGGGCUCAGUUGCCACCAGGAGUACCAGUCUGUAUGCAUAUUCUGACCCUACAGUAAUUUCUUGCUCCCUUUUCACUGAAGAGAGCUGUGGCGGCAGCAGCAGGUAUAUGCUAAGAAUAUCUCUGGAGGAGAGAGCAAGAGCAAGGAUACAUGAAGCUAUCAAAUGGAUCCCAAGAAUGUGGACAUUCUGACCCAGCUCAUUCAGAUUCACUUAUCUCACAAUAAAAAGCCUACCUGGAAUACACCAGCUGUACAGAAGAUAAAUAGUUCAGAUGUCUAUUUGGAACCACUAUGGGCCUUGGUAAAGCUAGAAAGUACUACAACCCUGGCUCCCAAAUCAAGAGUCAAGUGCUCCUGUGAAAGACCUCAUGCAGAAAGCCAGCUAGCAGUAGAAGAGGCAAAGAAUAAUGAGAGAAAAAAAAAUAUGUAACUAGACAGGUCAGGGUGCAGCCAUUCGGCAGUGCUGGUCAUCUCAGGACACUGCAGUCAUACCAGACAACCCAAACCAAAGCAAAGACCAACAAGGAGCCGACAGAGGACAACAGGCUUCCCAGUUUGUAGGGUGAUCUACCUUCAUACGCAGCUGUUGUCCAUGUCAUUUUGCCAAGGGUGAGCUGUGCAGGCACCCCCACAAGUGAUGUUACACAACCAUCAAGCUUGUAUUAGAGAAAAGAACACUGGCCCCAUGGCUGGAUUUUGGAGGUCAGUUCCAUAUAUAUUUAUUUAUAUAUAAUAUAUAUACUUAUAUACUUAUAUAUUUAUAUUCUGUAUAUAUUUAUUUUCUCAGGGCUUACCAGUUCACAAUGUUUUGAACUUAGUUACCUCAGCUUGCAUAGCUCCAUGUGAUAAAUCCGUUCAAAUGCACUUGUCACGCUCAGAGGACCAGCCACAUAUGUCUAUAAGCCUAAUCUCUUGUGACCCCAUAUCUGUGGGGGACAAGGAGGAGAAGGAAGAAGACUGGAAAGCUAUUUUUGCCAUACCGUGUUUUGGGACACUACAGACCCCACUUGAGAUGAUGUAACGUACAGCAGCUCCUGGGUUUCCCCUGAACCUCCAAAGCAGAAAAUCAGAGGGCAGGCCUCAGGCAGAGUGCCCUGUGGGACUGGGAAGCUGUGACGGGACCACAUGCUGGCAUUCCCCUUGCGGGGACACUGAGGGUUGCUCCUGUCCCCUUCAAGGCCCCUUGCAGCUCCCAGAGGGGUGUAAAAUGCCUGUGUGCCACGCAGCCUCUUACUUUUCGUCUGCGACAGAGGACAGGCCUUGUGCUGCAGGGCUGCAGCAGCUCUAGCCACCAGUUUUGUUCCUCGCCCCCUCUCACCUGUUGUGUGUGAUGCAGGCUUGGUGCCAAGCUCUUGAGCAGCUGCCCUUUUCCAGCUCCCAGGCAUGCCAGCCCGAGGAGGCCCAGCCCCGUUUGUUUGCAGCGGCAGCCCAUGAAUAGUAACUACUUAAGGCCAUUUUGCACACUUCUGUCAUCUUAUAAUUAGCACUCGGUCCCGCAGCCGGUGAGAGUCCCUCCCCACAGCAAUCCUCUCCCCUUCCUCCACUGCAUGUCACAGCAUAGUCCGCAGCUGCCUUCAGAGAUGUUUCUAGAUCACACAUUACCCAAAUUUUCUGCUGGUCACCAUCAGCUGCACAGUCUCAUUUCCCAAGUCACCAAGGUGGAUAAAUCAUGGCUUGGCUUUGCUCUACAUUGUGCUCUUCUCUCUUGCUGCUGCAUCAAAAGUAAUUGUGUGCUCCUCCUGCACUGCAGUGAGACACCUCUGCCUGCCUGAGGUGCUUUCUUUGGGUCUCCUGUAAAGCAGGCGACCCAAAGGAAGCUGGGAUCUCGUCAUUAGAUGGCUGUGCCCAAACCCACUGGAGAAAACCAGAGAGCUCCUCAUCCACCAGCUCCUAAGGGCGGUGAGAUAACCCCCUAACAAAGUCCAUUCGCAUGUUGUUCUUUCCUUGGUGCCAAUGCACAGCUUUCCCCAGCCCUGUCCUUCCUCCUGCAGUUAAUCUGAACACAGAUAUCUUUGCACAUUUUGUUCUUGGCAGUUUCGAAAGUUGCCUUAGGAUCUUAUCACCUUAAAAAAUCAGAUCAUAUAGUGGUAGCCUUAGAGACGGCCUGAUUGAUAUCUGAGCAGCCGAACAAAUGGUAAAUUUGAAUAAAAUAUGGCACCCCAUUGCCUAUUAGUUCUGCUGAUUCUGAGAGGACAAUUUGCCAACGUUAAGCAAAGUGCAUGUCCCGAGCAUCCAUGGGACUGCGGAUGUGUAAAAGGGUUUGCAGAAGUGCUGUGCAAACCUCAUGAAAUGCCUUUUGCCCAUUCCAGAUCCUGCAUGCCCCAGCCUGCGCAGUUACAGGGAUUUGGUACCACUGGCACUGCCAACCCAACUUAUCUGCGUAUUUGUACAGUAAUAGAGACGUUUGCGGGAAGAGGAGAGAGUUUCCUGGUGAUCCUUAAACAAACAGUGAUGAAGCCAGGAGCUCCUGCAGCUUGGCUUCCACAGGCACCACCAGCUCCCGUAGCGAGAGUGAGAACACGCUCAGAGGAAGAUCGUGUUUCUGGGUAGCCAUUUAGUCUGUAAUCAUGAUACGACUGCUCAGGUUUUUCAGAUCAUUCAUUCUAGUUGCUUUCUCCAAACUCACUUUCUGUGGCCUUAGGAAAUAACACUGUGGGAGAGCGUGCAGUCCCAUUCUCUUCUCUGAUUUGGACAUCAUCAUGAACCUGCCCAAAUAUCUGAUGCCAGUUUCAUUUUGGGUGACCCCAUUGCCUGCACAGAGGGCAGGGAGGGCUGCGUUAACUGCUGCUGUUCCACCUGCCCUGAAUCAGCUUGUGAGGGGUUUUACUCAGCAGACUGGAUGAGAUGGGUCCUGACCUGAGGGUAAAGCCGGACACAGCAUCCAUGAGGUAGGCUAAAGAGCGGGCUUUGUGUUUGGGUGACCACACCGCACACCUGCACACGAUUCCCAACGUGCUGUUUUCGUAGGGUAGGGGGCCGAGGCAAAAACAGCACCCAGGGCAUCAGAAGGAGAGCAGGUUUGGCUCCCAAAUGAGCAGGCAGGCCUGGUGGCCCAGCGGCUGAGACACAGCCUCAUUGGCUACAGCAGCAAUGGUGCUGGGUGUUAAAACUGAGCGCUUGUUCCUCCUGUGGUGCUCAUCUAUUUAUUGGCCUGAUUGUAAGCACAGCCUUCUGAACUUGUAACUGAUACAUCCUCCCUACACCGCAGAUGAUGUUCACUUGGGUAUCAGAUUGCUAUCUGUGUUUGCUCUCAUUAUCGCCCACCAUCAGCAGGUCUCUUUAAAGACCAGCUCUGACCAGACACGAUGGAGAAGAGAGAGGCCAUUUGUCCUCAGCCGUUUGAUCAGCCAUUUUCCAUUGCACAAAUACCGUUGAGGGCCGAUUCCCCAAACCCAGGAUGGAAAUCCCUGGGGCACACCUGGCUGGCUCCCUCUGCUCACACGUAAUGUACCACAGAGUGUUCAGCAAACAUUGCCCCCAGGUGCACUGACUCCUGUGUGACACUCCUCUUCCUAACCCCAUGAGGCUUUGAGGAGUCUGGCUGCGUGCCUAGGCCUGGGGAGGCCGUGUUCUGCCUUGCAGGGUGCAAUCACCUUGAGGUACCCUGCCCAGGCAGACCAAGGCCCAAAAAAGCCUUGGUCCUGACCAAAGACCAAGGCCCUGCCUGUGCAGGUUGCUUCAGGGGCUGGCUGUGGGCGGCAGCCAUGGGGCACCUGGAGAUGGGCGCCAUGUUGGGGCUGUUCCCCUGGGGACAGUGGGGUGGCUGGCGUGCAUUUGUCUAGCCUCCCAAAACAACAAGAAAGUCUGGAGUUAAGGCUGGCAGAGCAAGCCUGUAGCUUAAAGGCAGGAAAAUACCCGGAGCGCCAUAUCGUGACCAGGAGGAAGUUCAGUAUUAAAUAAAUCCCAAUAGGGUACAGCAGCGUGCAGCCGAGGUUCACGUGUGACUCAGUCCUGUCGUGACACUGUGGGACCGGGGCACGCUGGUGAACUUCCAUCACGAAUGCAGGUCCCAGGGCCGCACCAGAGUCCCUUUCCCCUUCCCGGGGUCCCCCCACAAGGUGCCGCCCAGCGCUGCAGGGCCGGGGCAGCACCGGGACCCCCACAGGGUGCCGCAGCCCCCCCUCAUCGGGCCGCCGGCGGCGUGCGUGCACCUCCCUGAAGGUCACCUUGCGA